UACGUAGGGGGCAAGCGUUGUCCGGAAUCAUUGGGCGUAAAGCGCGUGUAGGCGGCUCGAUAAGUCUGCUGUGAAAGUUCAGGGCUCAACCCUGAAAUGCCGGUGGAAACUGUCGGGCUAGAGUCCGGAAGAGGCGAGUGGAAUUCCUGGUGUAGCGGUGAAAUGCGCAGAUAUCAGGAGGAACACCAAUGGCGAAGGCAGCUCGCUGGGACGGUACUGACGCUGAGACGCGAAAGCGUGGGGAGCGAACAGG
rnacentral:rRNA from 1 species